CAUUAAGAGUCUUGCUUUUUUUGGACAAUUUUUUCUUUCCUUUCUGUGGUCAAUUUUAAUUUUAGCUUAAUCUGUAUUCUGCUGUGGUUUACCUUCCAGGCCCUGAGGCCAUGGCUAGACCUGAUUGCUCCUACCCAGGCCUUGCAGUCCCUGCACAUUACCAUCAACUGAGAGACAGUCAGACUGGCACAAAGGAGAAAUGUAACCAGGCCUUCAAAAAAAGAAGAAAAGAGGUCUGACCUGAGGAAUCACCAUGACACCAUCUGUAACUUCAGGAGAUGACAGGAGUCAAAGGAAAGGGAAGGAGGCAGGCCAGAAAAUGGCUUUAUAAGCAGUCGCCUUGGCUCAGGGCAGUGAAACCGUAAGGGC
rnacentral:lncRNA from 1 species